GGAUGCCGGCGGUCUCUGCUGAAGAGAGAAGAUGGCGCUUGACGGACCAGAGCAGGUAUGGCGGGUGCAGUGGCGGCCCGGCAGGUUAUGGGGCUGGGUGCGGAGCGAGCGUGAUCUGAGUGGAGAGCGGGCCGGGGCAGGAGCGUCGGGUGGGUCGGAGGUGGCUGGACCAGUCCAGGCUGGACGCUGCCUGCGACCGGAUCUGCUGUGUCAGCGCCACCCUCGGUGAGUCAGGGCAAGGCUGGGAGAGGAAGACGCGGUAGAAGCGGAGUGAGUGAGGGGAGCGAUGGGCGCGGGAAUGGCCGGCCGACGGGUCGCAGGAGACGGGACGCCAGUCCUUUGGCUCCGUUCCGCUGGCUCCGUCGUCAGUACUGACACCUCGGGCUUGUAGAGCACUUCACGCAGUGCAAAGCGCCCCCGUGUAUAUCAUAUCGCCUCUCGGUCUUCCUAAAAGUCGUAUGAGACUCACUCUGUGUCUUCAGAUGGAGCUGGAGGAGGGGAAGGCAGGCAGCGGACUCCGCCAAUAUUAUCUGUCCAAGAUUGAAGAACUCCAGCUGAUUGUGAAUGAUAAGAGCCAAAACCUCCGGAGGCUGCAGGCACA
rnacentral:sRNA from 1 species